rnacentral:rRNA from 1 species
GACGAACGCUGGCGGCGCGCUUAACACAUGCAAGUCGAACGGAAAGGCCUGCUUUCCCUUGUGGAUUGCGGGUACUCGAGUGGCGAACGGGUGAGUAACACGUGAGUGAUCUGCCCCCAACUUGGGUAUAAGCCUGGGAAACUGGGUCGAAUUCCCGAUAGGACUGCAGGGUGGUGCCUGUGGUGGAAAACGAUUUUCUAGUGGUUGGGGAUGAGCUCGCGGCCUAUCAGCUUGUUGGUGGGGUAAUGGCCUACCAAGGCGGCGACGGGUAGCCGGCCUGGUAGCGUGGACGGCCACAUUGGGACUGAGAUACGGCCCCGACUCCUACGGGAGGCAGCAGUGGGGAAUAUUGCACCAUGGGCGGAAGCCUGAUGCAGCGACGCCGCGUGGGGGAUGACGGCCUUCGGGUUGUAACCUCCUUUCGACCGCGAGGAAGCCACCUGGUUGGAAGGGUGGUGACGGUAGUGGUAGAAGAAGCACCGGCUCCCUACGUG